UGCUAGUCGAGCGCUUCCUAGCCAAUUUGGGAGCGCGGCGCACAGCUCAGUAACACGUGGCUAACCUGCCCUUGGGACGAGGACACCCCCGGGAAACUGGGGCUAAUCCUCGAUAGGUGAAGAACUCUGGAAUGAGUCUCCACCCAAAAGACGCUUACGCUAUGCUUGUAGGCGCCGCCCAAGGAUGGGGCCGCGACCGAUCAGGUUGUUGGUGAGGCAACGGCUCACCAAGCCUAUAACCGGUGCGGGCCGUGGGAGCGGGAGCCCGGAGAUGGGCACUGAGACAAGGGCCCAGGCCCUACGGGGCGCAGCAGUCGCGAAAACUUUGCAAUACACGAAAGUGUGACAGGGCUAUCCCGAGUGCCAUCCGCUGAGGAAGGCUUUUACCCAGUGUAGAUAGCUGGGGGAAUAAGGAGAGGGCAAGACUGGUGUCAGCCGCCGCGGUAAUACCAGCUCUCCGAGUGGUGUGGAUGUUUAUUGGGCCUAAAGCAUCCGUAGCUGGCCGGACAAGUCCCCUGUUAAAUCCACCGAUUCAAUCGUUGGUGUGCGGGGGAUACUGUUCGGCUAGGGGACGGGAGAGGCAGACGGUAUUUCCGGGGUAGGGGUGAAAUCCUAUAAUCCCGGGAAGACCACCAGUGGCGAAGGCUGUCUGCUAGAACGCGCCCGACGGUGAGGGAUGAAAGCUGGGGGAGCGAACCGGAUUAGAUACCCGGGUAGUCCCAGCUGUAAACGAUGCAGCUAGGUGUUUGGGCGGCCACGUGCCGCUCUAGUGCCGCAGGAAGUCGUUAAGCCUGCCGCCUGGGGAGUACGGCCGCAAGGCUGAAACUUAA
rnacentral:rRNA from 1 species